CUUCAAUCAAAUUGUUUAUUAUCAAAUAUACAAUUCUACAUUUAGCACCGAAACAAAAAAAAUAUUUGCUAGUGGAAAUGAAAAGGGAAGGAAAAAAAAAAAAGGCACGUCAUUUGAACACGACAACUCUGUAAUAACCAGUAACAAGGAGGCUAAAUUAUAGACCUCAAUUACCUCCCCUUAAGGUAGUGGUAAGUACAUAGAAAGAAAAUAAAAUAAAAAAAAAACAGUGCCAUAUUUGUUCAUUAUUGUACGGAAGGAAAUACAUUAGUACGAGCCCCUCCAAUUGAUCAACCAUCAGAAAUGAUGCCAGGCAGUGAAGCAGUUGACAAGGUCAAGGUCCAACACAACUCAACUUUGAAAUAUGAACAUCUCAGCAGUAGAAAAAAAAAAGAGGGGGGGGGGGGGAG